UACGUAGGUGGCAAGCGUUAUCCGGAAUUAUUGGGCGUAAAGAGCGCGCAGGUGGUUGAUUAAGUCUGAUGUGAAAGCCCACGGCUUAACCGUGGAGGGUCAUUGGAAACUGGUCGACUUGAGUGCAGAAGAGGGAAGUGGAAUUCCAUGUGUAGCGGUGAAAUGCGUAGAGAUAUGGAGGAACACCAGUGGCGAAGGCGGCUUCCUGGUCUGUAACCGACACUGAGGCGCGAAAGCGUGGGGAGCAAACAGGAUUAGAUACCCU
rnacentral:rRNA from 1 species